rnacentral:tRNA from 1 species
AGAAAUAAUAUUAAGAAGCUUCUAACUUCUAAAUCAGCAAACAAUGUUAGUAUUUCUA